rnacentral:piRNA from 1 species
UUUUUUUAGGAAAACUCGAAA